ensembl:lncRNA
GUCUUCACUCAUCCGCGCACGUGCGCGCGAGAGAGUGAACGAAGAGCCAAAACACAGCCGAUCUCAACUUUAUACGGGCGGAGAGCGGGUUGAGCUCAGGUCACAGAUCAUCAUCUGUGUGAGCAUGCGCACUGGAGCACAGCUGCUGUGUGUCUGAGAGAUGCGCGGCGCGCACGCGUCCAGCGGAGAGGCACGGGUGCGCGCUGAAGCGGCAGAGGGCGACAGCGCUGCAGUGAAGUCCUCAGUCCUGACAACAGCAGCAGCAAUGACAAGUAUCUGAAAACAAAUAUCAAGCUAUAUCAUUUACUGGUAAGUCCAGAGAGCUGAUGGAGAGAUGGAGGCUGAGGUUCGAGGACAGAGGCCUUCCAGUGCUGAUCUCAGGCCACAGCUCGUCCAGCCGACGCGGAGCGCCGGUGAGUCAUUGUGAUGCUCCACACAGAAACACAUGCUUCAGAUCGAGUGUGUGUGAGGGUGAAACGUCCCCUACAGUGUGUGAAAGGCCUCGGCGUGCUUCAGAUCAUGAGAAACUCACACGCAUCUGUUGUUUUUGUACUGUGUUUGCUGGCAGCGCAGGCUUUAAUAAUGAACAGAAAACCAAACAUGUACGGUUGUGUUUGUGAUGUUGUAAUGUUGAGCAUGUGCCCUCUCAGUGCUGUUGUGUAAUCAGAUCUGUGAUCGUGCUGCUGAUGUAUCAGUGAGAGUCUCUCCUGCAGAGCCGCUGGAGCCGCUCGUGUCCGACGCUGUGGCUAGAGAGAGCGUGAGAGCGAGACGCGGCGCUAACAAUCCUUCCCUCGCGUCCUCACCACUCGCUCUUCACAUUGACAGCAGCGCUUCACACAACUGAGCGAUUCUUGCCUCAUUAACUCAUUCACGUGUCACUCCAAACCUGUGACACACUUCCUGACUGAUGCUUGCGAUUGAUGAUGAUGUUUCAGGAUGACAUCAUGAGGCCUCAGAGAGUUCGGCUACAGUAUGAAGCUGCUGCAGCGAAUCCCACCGCAGGCUCGGUUUGUUGCUUUGACCUCUGACCUCGGGUCACAGCGGGUGGAGCGGAGACAGACCGAAGAGCUGCGCCGCUAAACAAACAGAGCGGAGAUCACUUGACAGGAAAUGAGACGGAUCAGUGAAAGCGCGUGCGUGUAUGUGUGUUGUUUUAGGGAGUUACUUGAGUUUGUGUUGUGAUCUGCUGUGUCUAGUGAAUGAUGCUUCUGUACACACCACAGUAACACAUGCAGAAAUCUUUUGUAACUUAGACUAU